ACAGAGGGUGCGAGCGUUAAUCGGAAUUACUAGGCGUAAAGCGCGCGUAGGCGGCUUUUUAAGUCGGAUGUGAAAUCCCUGGGCUCAACUUUGGAAUUGCAUUCGAUACUGGCAAGCUAGAGUAUGGGAGAGGAGGGUAGAAUUCCAGGUGUAGCGGUGAAAUGCGUAGAGAUCAGGAGGAAUACCGAUGGCGAAGGCGGCCCUCUGGACCAAUACUGACGCUGAGGUGCGAAAGCGUGGGGAGCAAACAG
rnacentral:rRNA from 1 species